rnacentral:lncRNA from 1 species
CGAUCGAAGGGGCAAACGGACACUCAGUCAUGAAUCCCCAGCAUGGUCAAGAAGGUUUUCUCUGGCGGAGCCUUGUUGUUAACGACCAUGGAUGGCGAAGAUUCUCCAUCCCCUGUGAAUGCGGACGCAGUUAAAAAAUACUUCGUAUGAAUUGACCCGCUGGACGAAAAGAACAAAAUAGUCCAGGAAAAAAUGGGCAUCCCGGCGAACCAAAAAAAAAACAGAAAGAAAGGUUCGGGCAAAAGUUAGGGAUAAAAAAAAAAGGAAAAUGUACACCCGGCAAGUCGAAAACCUGAGAAGGCGACUUGGGCAAAAAUGGGUAUCCCGGUGGACUGAAAACCCGAAAGGGCGGUCCAGGCAAAAG